CCAGGAACCAUGGUAGGUACUCAAAAAUACAAAUGCAUAAAAAAGAACAGUCCUUGUCUUCAAAGAACUAAUAUUCUACUAGGCAGAUACAAAAUGUUCAUGGAUAAGUGAAUAUAGGAUGUAUAUCAAACCAAACAACAAAGUAUUUUGGUGGACAGUACUUGUUGUUUGUCCUUUGUUUAUGGAAGAGAACCAAUGGUAUCACAAGAUGUCUUGAUUUGUACAUGAAUUAGAUUUAAGUGAGUCAAAGUUACAUAUGUCAGCCUUAUGCUCUCUUCCAGAGUCAUGAAAACUCAGUGGCAAGACAAAAGUCAGGAUGAAUGGUGAUGGUGAGAGAUGCAAAGGAAGACUUUGGUGUCUUCAAUGUCUGAUCAAGUUCUUGGUUCUCUACAGAGUCUAUUUCAGCUGACUUCAUGGUCACUAAAGCAAUCCUCAUUCUCAUCCUCAAUGCAGGAAAGACCUUUUGAUGAAAGAAGACAUCAGAAACUGAGCCUUGAAGAGGAACAGGACUUCUAAGAGGGCCUACAUAGGCCAGGCCAGGCAACACCUGGUCUUGAAGCCUCAGAGCAGCAGCAAUCCCUUUCAGAAGAUGUCAGAGGAGCCACUGUACUGGAACUCAAUGUCUGUCAGCAGCAAGAUAUGCCUGAGGAAUAGAGGUGAAAAAAUGCCCAGCAAUGGAGAGAGCAAGUGUCUUCAUCUGAAUGGCUGAUGGUGAUUCAACUGUUUCUUCUCUAAAACAGGGCUAACCAUUGCCCCAGUGUCAGGGCUUUGGUUGGUGUGUGGAUGGAAUUAUAAAACCAGGUGCCUCAUGGCUUGUAGGCUUGACUUCCAGGAAGAGCUAGCCUGUGAAUUCCAACCUCCCAAGAAUAAUGCCUCUAUCAGGGUUGGAGAGCCGAGGUCCUGAGGUUCUCAUUGUUUUCAGGAGUCUUAUGACCUGAAUUCCUGGGAGAAACAUAGACAUGGUAGAAGAAGGGGCAGGUUUGAGGGAAGAUCCUGAAUUCAGGACAUAAGAAGUCUCUAAGGAAUACAGAAAUGAAUUUUUUUCCCAGCCACUUUUUAUUCUCUGUAAACUCCAAGAACACGCACCAACACUGUGAGUCAAACUCAACUUGGUCAUUGGUUACCUACGUGACCUUAGACAAAUGCCUUAACCAACUAUUCUGGGCCUCAGUUUCCCCAUCUGUAAAAGUACAGAUGCUUAACUCAGGGAAGGAGUCCACCUAUGAAGUUUUUUAAAAGUGUAUUUCAAUAUCAUUCACUUUGUAAUCUUAAACAUUAAAUUCUAUGAAUUUAAAAAGCAUUAUUCUGAGAACAGGUCACCAGACUAUCAAAGGGAGUCCAUCACACACACACACACACACACACACACACACACACACACACACACACACACACACACCAGCUAGGUGAUGGAGUGGAUAAAACACUGAACUUGGAGUCAGGAACAUUCAUCUUGUGUUCAAAUCUAGCCUCAGACACUUACUAGUUGCAUGACCAUGGUUAAGUUGCUUAUCCUUAUUUACUUCAGUUUCCCCAUUUGUAAAAUUAUCUGGAGAAGGAAAAGACAAACAACUCCAAUAGAACCUCAAAUGGGGUCACAAAGAGUGGGACUGGACUGAAAGAUAAAUAAACAAGAACCUAAAAAAGAGUUAAUGAUCUCUAAGUUGCCUCUAAGAUUCUUCCCCAACUUUAAAUCACAGGAUCUAUGACUGGCUGAGCCUUUGGACAUCAGACUCACUGAAUUGCAGGAAAGGGGAGUGAGGAUUCUGGCUUGGAGAACCUCCAAUACCAUCCAGGGAGUGAGUGACCCCGUAGGGAAGAGUUGACUUUCCUUUGGUGCUCUGUGUUUAGAAUCCACAGUGAGGGGUAAAGCAAACCUGGUCUCUCCUCCUAUAGGGCUUCCUGGAGCCAUUCUGCCAUUCUUCACAAGCGGCAUUGAGGUCAGUUCAUGAGAAACUGUUGGGAUGAGAAAGGUUGGAGAAGUUUUCCUUGCACAUUCCUCCCUGAGCAGGAGCAGGAUUCUGUCUGCUGUUGUGAUUCCUCGCUGCCCCUGGUAAUGAGGUGGGAAGGCUCUGGGCAUGGAUAUAGCUCCAGUGCCGCCCUGUCCACCCCCACAUUAUCUUGACUUAUUACAUUGUAAUAAAUUGAACCAUUCCAGUUCAUUAUUUCA